GUCCACGCCGUAAACGAUGGAUACUAGCUGUUGGGGCAACUUCAGUGGCUAAGCGAAAGUGAUAAGUAUCCCACCUGGGGAGUACGUUCGCAAGAAUGAAACUCAAAGGAAUUGACGGGGCCCGCACAAGCGGUGGAGCAUGUGGUUUAAUUCGAUGCAACGCGAAGAACCUUACCUGGUCUUGACAUAGUAAGAACUUUCCAGAGAUGGAUUGGUGCCUUCGGGAACUUACAUACAGGUGCUGCAUGGCUGUCGU
rnacentral:rRNA from 1 species